GAUGAACGCUGGCGGCGUGCCUAAUACAUGCAAGUCGAGCGAACAGAUAAGGAGCUUGCUCCUUUGACGUUAGCGGCGGACGGGUGAGUAACACGUGGGUAACCUACCUAUAAGACUGGGAUAACUUCGGGAAACCGGAGCUAAUACCGGAUAACAUUUGGAACCGCAUGGUUCUAAAGUGAAAGAUGGUUUUGCUAUCACUUAUAGAUGGACCCGCGCCGUAUUAGCUAGUUGGUAAGGUAACGGCCUACCAAGGCAACGAUACGUAGCCGACCUGAGAGGGUGAUCGGCCACACUGGAACUGAGACACGGUCCAGACUCCUACGGGAGGCAGCAGUAGGGAAUCUUCCGCAAUGGGCGAAAGCCUGACGGAGCAACGCCGCGUGAGUGAUGAAGGGUUUCGGCUCGUAAAACUCUGUUAUUAGGGAAGAACAAACGUGUAAGUAACUGUGCACGUCUUGACGGUACCUAAUCAGAAAGCCACGGCUAACUACGUG
rnacentral:rRNA from 1 species